AGUGAACGCUGGCGGUAGGCCUAACACAUGCAAGUCGAACGGCAGCACAGUAAGAGCUUGCUCUUACGGGUGGCGAGUGGCGGACGGGUGAGGAAUACAUCGGAAUCUACUUUUUCGUGGGGGAUAACGUAGGGAAACUUACGCUAAUACCGCAUACGACCUACGGGUGAAAGCAGGGGAUCUUCGGACCUUGCGCGAUUGAAUGAGCCGAUGUCGGAUUAGCUAGUUGGCGGGGUAAAGGCCCACCAAGGCGACGAUCCGUAGCUGGUCUGAGAGGAUGAUCAGCCACACUGGAACUGAGACACGGUCCAGCCUCCUACGGGAGGCAGCAGUGGGGAAUAUUGGACAAUGGGCGCAGGCCUGAUCCAGCCAUACCGCGUGGGUGAAGAAGGCCUUCGGGUUGUAAAGCCCUUUUGUUGGGAAAGAAAAGCAGCAGGUUAAUACCCCGCUGUUCUGACGGUACCCAAAGAAUAAGCACCGGCGAACUUCGU
rnacentral:rRNA from 1 species